GUUAUCGUCUAUUUGAUAGUACCUUACUACUUGGAUAACCGUGGUAAUUCUAGAGCUAAUACAUGCUGAAAACCCCGACUUCGGAAGGGAUGUAUUUAUUAGAUUAAAAACCAAUGCCCUCCGGGGCUCCCUGGUGAUUCAUGAUAACUUCUCGAAUCGCACGGCCUUGCGCCGGCGAUGGUUCAUUCAAAUUUCUGCCCUAUCAACUUUCGACGGCUGGGUCUUGGCCAGCCAUGGUGACAACGGGUAACGGAGGGUUAGGGCUCGACCCCGGAGAAGGAGCCUGAGAAACGGCUACUACAUCUAAGGAAGGCAGCAGGCGCGCAAAUUACCCAAUCCCGACGCGGGGAGGUAGUGACAAUAAAUACUGAUACAGGGCUCUUUAGGGUCGUGUAAUUGGAAUGAGUACAGUUUAAUUCCCUUAACGAGGAACAAUUGGAGGGCAAGUCUGGUGCCAGCAGCCGCGGUAAUUCCAGCUCCAAUAGCGUAUAUUAAAGUUGUUGCAGUUAAAAAGCUCGUAGUUGAACCUUGGGCCUGGCUGGCCGGUCCGCCUCACCGCGUGCACUGGUCCGGCCGGGCCUUUCCCUCUGGGGAGCCGCAUGCCCUUCACUGGGCGUGCCGGGGAACCAGGACGUUUACUUUGAAAAAAUUAGAGUGUUCAAAGCAGGCUUAUGCUCGGAUACAUUAGCAUGGAAUAAUGGAAUAGGACGUGCGGUUCUAUUUUGUUGGUUUCUAGGACCGCCGUAAUGAUUAAUAGGGACAGUCGGGGGCAUCAGUAUUCAAUUGUCAGAGGUGAAAUUCUUGGAUUUAUUGAAGACUAACUACUGCGAAAGCAUUUGCCAAGGAUGUUUUCAUUAAUCAGGAACGAAAGUUAGGGGAUCGAAGACGAUCAGAUACCGUCGUAGUCUUAACCAUAAACUAUGCCGACUAGGGAUCGGACGCU
rnacentral:rRNA from 1 species